GAUGAACGCUGGCGGCGUGCCUAAUACAUGCAAGUCGAACGGAAAGACGAGGAGCUUGCUCCUCUGACGUUAGCCGCGGACGUGUGAGUCACACGUGGAUACCCUACCUAUAAGACUGAGAUAACUUCGGGACACCGGCGCUAAUAGCGGAUAAUAUCUUGAACCGCAUGGUUCAAUGGUGAGAGACGGUUUUGCUGUCACUUCUCGAUGGAUCCGGGCCGCAUUGGGUAGUAGGUAAGGUCACGGCUUACGACGGCGACGAGGCGUAUACGACCGCACUGGCUGAUCGCCCACCCGGGAGCGGGGACGCGGUCCAGGCGCCUAAGGGAGGCAGCAGUAUGGAACCUUCCGCAAUGGGCGAAAGCCUGACGGAGCAACGCCGAGUGAGUGACGAAGGUGUUCGGAUCGUAAAACUCUGUUAUUAGGGAAGAACAAAUGUGGAAGGUACUAUGCCCGUCUUGACGGUACCUAAUCAGAAAGCCCCGGCUAACUACGUG
rnacentral:rRNA from 1 species